UUAAAAUUCUUGCAUUAUGGGAUAUAUUGUUCAGAAAGUGUACUGAACUUUGCACACCUUGUGAGCAGUUGCAUAGCUGGGGGAAAAACAAAACUAUGCACAGCGAUUUUAUUACUUGCACAAAUAGUUUCCUUUUUUUGGGGGGGGGGGUGUGUUUGUGCACAUGAAACUACUCCCCAGACUGCCAUGUGUGCGUUUCUUCUAAAAAAACAAACAAAAAAAAUACAGUUUUUUUUUCUUUUUGGGUGGGGGGAGAGGGAUAAAAUGCAUUUGCCCUCCAACUUCAGGAUGUUGCAUUUUUUGCACCAUGGGUACCAAUAGUAGUACCACUUUAUGGAUAAGAAAUAUAUGUAAAGAUGGGUCGCUUUAGUGAAUAGGCCUAUUAUGGUCUAUUAAUACUUGUAUAUAAAUAAUUUAGCCUAUAGCUUUCUUUUUGAGAGAGUUCUUGUAUGAGUUUUAAUGUAUUUUGGAGAAAAGCAGAGCAUUCUAUAUUUUUUGGAAAAUUUCUAUUUUUAUUUCUUUCAGAUUUAAACUUUUUGAAUGAAAAUCCUCUUUUAAACCCUGUUUUGGUGGAAGGAUUUGAGCAGCCAGAUAUUUUUAGGUGUUAUUCAAUGAAUGCCCUCAAGGUGGCUCUUUGGCCUUUUGUUAAUACAGAGUUCUGUUUGUCUUAUCAAACAACCUAUUUUGAGAUUAUGCACGUUUACUGAAAUCAUUUUACUAUAAAUUAUUCCUGUUUCUUAAUGAGAUUUUUGAAGGGAGCGGACUGUUCUUUGUAAUAAAACAUAUUAUACAGAUUUGUAUAAUAGGCUAAAACGAAACCUUUUUAAAUGUUAACAGUACACACUGUACUGUGUAUAUUGGUACAGAUUGCUUUGUGACGCUGUUAGGCUGUUUUUUUGUUGUUUUUUUUUAAAUAUUUGUUUCUGGUAUGAGUUGGAGGAAUGGCCUGGAGAUUUGAUAUUUAAAUAUGAAACUUUUAAGGGGGAUAUUUUAUAUGAAUACAAAAAAGAAAAGAAAAAAACUACCAUAAAGUGUCUCAACAUUUUGGUAAUUAUAGUCACAAUGAAAUGGGCAUAAAAAAUAACUUAAUGGAUAUAUUAAAAUGUAAAAUAGAAAAGAUAAAAGCAAAACAAAAAGCACAAGGCUACAAAAUAAUAUGUCCUAUAAACUAGUUGGGGUAUAAAACCUCCAAUAGAACCAAUAGCAAGAGAAGUGUUGCUUCAAAGAAAUACUUAUUGGUGUAAAGUAAAACUACUUGCUAUGAACAAUGUAACUGAAUUCUAAAUAGGAAAGUGGGAUACUAAUAUCCUCUAAACUCCUCCUGCAGAACAGGGUCGGUUGAAUAUAGAUGAAAUGCCUCUAGUGCACAAGGGGUUAAACAGCACAACAGUUGGUUGCAAUGGAUAAUAGAAAAGAGGCAGGAAAUACCUGUAAAAUAAAGAUGUAUAGGAGACAGUUGCAAGCUAGGUUAGAUAUAAUGGUCAGUAGAAAUAUAGAGACUAUAGGUAAUCCUGACGCUUGCUAGCAAGAGAGGUGUAAAUACAAAGAGAUACUUUAAUAGUAAAAAGUUAAGCCACUUGCUAUAAACAGUGUCACUGAAUUCAAGAUAGGAGGGUGGGGUAUUCGUAUCCUCUGAACUCCUCCUGCAAAACAGGGUCUACUGUAUAUAGAUGAAGCACCUCUAAUACACAAGAGGUUAAACAGUACACCAAUAUGGUUGCAAUAGUUAAUGAAGAAGAGGCAGAUAAUACCUGUAAAUAGGGAGGUAUAGGAGGCAGUAGCAAGCUAGGAUUAGAUGCAAAAAUAAAUAGAGAUGUAGAAAAUAUAGAUAAUCCUGAUGCUUGUAAGAUAGAAAAUCUAAGUGCCUUCGAGGGCACCCCUUAAUAAAUGCCUAUACUAUAUA
rnacentral:lncRNA from 1 species